CCUACGGGUGGCUGCAGUAGGGAAUCUUUCACAAUGGGCGAAAGCCUGAUGGAGCAACGCCGCGUGCAGGAUGAAGGCCUUCGGGUUGUAAACUGCUUUUAUAAGCGAGAAAUAUGAUGGUAACUUAUGAAUAAGGAUCGGCUAACUACGUGCCAGCAGCCGCGGUCAUACGUAGGAGCCGAGCAUUAUCCGGAGUGACUGGGUGUAAAGAGUUGGGUAGGGGGCAUAAUAAGUAGCUAGUGAAAUCUGGUGGCGCAACCAUUCAGACUAUUAGCUAUACUGUUAAGCUCGAGACCGUUAGGGGUAAGUGGAAUUUCUAGUGUAGGAGUGAAAUGCGUAGAUAUUAGGAAGAACACCAAUAGCGUAGGCAGGUUACUGGGACGGUUCUGACGCUGAGGCACGAAAGCGUAGGGAGCAAACAGGAUUAGAUACCCCUGUAGUC
rnacentral:rRNA from 1 species